CCUGUAGCCAAGGAGCUAUUCCCCUUCAUUCAAAACAAAAUCAAGGAUGGAAGGGAGGGGAGAGGAAGGAUGUUCGUUUGUUCAUUCACUGGACAUUCACCGGGCACUUUUGGGGAUUGGGGGAGGUCACUGCUGUAAGACACCCCAGCCAGUCCUCACAGAGACAAAUACGAAAGCACACCCAUGCAUUCUGUUUUUGAUACGCUUGUGUUGAUACAGGUGGAGGCUUUCUUUUGGGUAUGACACGUUCUUCUGACCAUGAAAAGGGCAAUCACGGAGGAGAUGUUUCAUUAUCAAGCAACUUCGAGACUAGUGAUUGACCAAACACCUGGGCACCUAGGCCCCCACAUCACACACAUGGAACUUCAGCAGCAACAUUGGAUGAGUUUCACACCCAGAUGAAGUCUGUUGCUAGGCUCCCUUGACUUCAGCCCUGUGAAGCACGUCUUAUUUUUCCUAUUUUCUAGAAGAGGAAAGUAAACCCAGAGAACGGAAGGACUUUGCUCCAACUCACACAGCAAAAAAGAGGCCGAGCUUGUGACCAGCUCGCUAU